CAGUAGCCGCGGGAAUACGGAGGGUGCAAGCGUUAAUCGGAAUUACUGGGCGUAAAGCGCACGCAGGCGGUCUGACAAGUCAGAUGUGAAAUCCCCGGGCUUAACCUGGGAACUGCAUUUGAAACUGUCAGGCUGGAGUCUUGUAGAGGGGGGUAGAAUUCCAGGUGUAGCGGUGAAAUGCGUAGAGAUCUGGAGGAAUACCGGUGGCGAAGGCGGCCCCCUGGACAAAGACUGACGCUCAGGUGCGAAAGCGUGGGGAGCAAACAGGAUUAGAUACCCCUGUAGUUUCUGUCUCUUAUAC
rnacentral:rRNA from 1 species